GUGCUCGCUUCGGCAACACAUAUACUAAAAUUGGAACGAUACAGAGAAGAUUAGCAUGGCCCCUGCACAAGGAUGACACGCAAAUUCGUGAAGCAUUCCAUAUUUAA
rnacentral:snRNA from 1 species